rnacentral:ncRNA from 1 species
AUGUUGUAUAAAAGGAAAACAGUGCUCCCCUUGACAAUGGCAGAAGAAGUUUAGGCAUGCAACAUGUAUACAGUUAUGGAACUGCCACUUAAUUUUUGGCAUUUUAGCACUUUUUUUU